rnacentral:rRNA from 1 species
AUACGUAGGGUGCAAGCGUUAAUCGGAAUUACUGGGCGUAAAGCGUGCGCAGGCGGUUUUGUAAGAAAGGGGUGAAAUCCCCGGGCUCCACCUGGGGACUGCCCUUGUUAACGCAAGGCCGGAGUGCGGCAGAGGGGGAUGGAAUUCCGCGGGUAGCAGGGAAAUGCGUAGAUAUGCGGAGGAACACCGAUGGCGAAGGCAAUCCCCUGGGCCUGCACUGACGCUCAUGCACGAAAGCGUGGGGAGCAAACAGGAUUAGAUACCCUGGUAGUCCACGCCCUAAACGAUGUCAACUGGUUGUUGGGGAUUUAUUUUCUCAGUAACGAAGCUAACGCGUGAAGUUGACCGCCUGGGGAGUACGGCCGCAAGGUUAAAACUCAAAGGAAUUGGCGGGG